rnacentral:rRNA from 1 species
AACGAACGCUGGCGGCAGGCUUAACACAUGCAAGUCGAACGCCCCGCAAGGGGAGUGGCAGACGGGUGAGUAACGCGUGGGAAUCUACCCUGAUCUGCGGGAUAGCUCCGGGAAACUGGAAUUAAUACCGCAUAUGUCCUGAGGGGCAAAGAUUGAUCGGUUCAGGAUGAGCCCGCGUCCGAUUAGCUAGUUGGUGGGGUAAAGGCCUACCAAGGCGACGAUCGGUAGCUGGUCUAAGAGGAUGAUCAGCCACAUUGGGACUGAGACACGGCCCAAACUCCUACGGGAGGCAGCAGUGGGGAAUAUUGGACAAUGGGCGCAAGCCUGAUCCAGCCAUGCCGCGUGAGUGAUGAAGGUCUUAGGAUUGUAAAGCUCUUUCACCGAUGAAGAUAAUGACGGUAGUCGGAGAAGAAGCCCCGGCUAACUUCGUGCCAGCAGCCGCUGUAAAAC